rnacentral:rRNA from 1 species
AUGUUCCCGUUGUCACGCCAGUGGCAAUGCCGGGUAGUUAUGUCCGGUAGGGAUAACCGCUGAAGGCAUCUAAGCGGGAAGCCCACCCCAAGAUGAAGUCUCCCAGGGAGUAAUCCCUCUGAAGGUCCGUGGUAGACCACCACGUCGAUAGGCUGGAGGUGUAAGUACAGUAAUGUAUUCAGCUUACCAGUACUAAUAGACCGUGUGCCUUGACCAC